CAGCUGUCUAAUCCCUUGUAGGUGUGUUUUGUCAUCACACACCCACAUGGUGGUUGUAUUUCCUUUUAGCCGUCCUCUUGUGCCCCCAUUCCUCCCUCUUCUCCAGCUCUGGCUCUUUUGUAACAGCACUAUGUCUGUUUUAACUGUAGGAGUGGCUGUUGGCUCACCGCAUGUCUCUCUUGUGUGUGUGUGUGUGUGUGUAUGGCUGGUUUUUAGCCUUUUCUGCCCUGUUGCCCUCUUCCUCUUCUCCUACACUGUUUCCCUGCUCUCUAAUUUCACAACCUUGCGAAUAUUGAUCCAGUUUAUCUUCCUGGAAAUAUGCUGAGUUUUUAACCAGAAUGACGACACGGUGGAGCGAGCGAUCUAUAAUGACAAGCUUAAUUGGAUUUGUAUGGCAUGCUGAAUUCUGAAUCUCUGGCUCUGUGUCUAAUAUGUUUUUCUUCCUUAUUAACCUCUCUCCACUCUUCACUGCAUGGUCACAGGGUCAGUUCUGUGCAUGGCUCCUGCUAGCAGCAUUGUACCCAUGAUGUACAGUGCUACGCCUGCUACUGUCUCUGCAGCAACAACUCCUGCCACAAGUGUCCCCUACGCAACAACAGCACCAGCCAAUCAGAUCAUCUUGAAGUAAACCACAGAAGAGGAACGGGGUGUCAGGAAGCUGCUUUGAGAAACCCAAAAAGAUCCCCGUGUAAAUACGACCUGCCCUCCCCUUUAGAACUACAACAACCUGCAUGCUAAAGCAUAAACACACAAAACACACACCAUAUACCUGUUAUGCUUGCAAAAGUGACUCAACCGGUUUCUAACUUAAAAGAUAUAAAAACGAGAUAAGAAAACAUAUAUAUAUAUAUAUAUAUAUAUAUGUGUGUUUAAUAUAUAUAAUGUACAGCACGUUUCAUUGAGGCAUAAGUGAGAUUCAUCCCAAUGAUCGGUCACCCGUCAGAUAAUGUGUAUUUUCCUCCCAUGGUUGUUUUAAAUACAAAUGCACAAUAAGUGGGCGACGAGCUAGGAAACACACUCUCAAACAGUUUGCACUGUCGGAAAUAGUGCUUAAUAAGUGCUUGAUUGUCUUGAACGGGAGGACAUCUCCUGCAGAGUAUGUUUUAAACAUCCCCAUGCACCCUCUAGAUAGGGGAAAGAGGGGUUUUAUUUCUUAUUUUAAUACACAAAAACACCGAAUGUCAAACGGCGGACACAAAGAAGAUUGUCUACUGGUCAGAAUGCGCUCCUCUUCUUGGACUUGCGCUAUCUUCGGAAAGAUUAGAGAAGCUAUUAUUUCCAACUCUUCAUCCCCAGUGGCCAAAGAAAGGUUUACAACGACACAAAGCGCAUAACGGUUGAAAAUCAGUCAGCGUCGGAAGUGCGAAUGUGGCAAACCACGUGCCAUGCAAUCACUUUUCUGUCUGCGUCUCUGCUAAAGGACUGUGUUUUACUCCUUUCUUUUUUGUUUUUAAAUGGACACUGAAUGAUUUUGAUGCACCCGUGGAAACACUGGCCAUCAGGGAGUCGACUCUGGCUUCUAUCCCGUGCCAAGGGCUUACAUUAAACUGGAGCGCUGCUGUAAACAAACUCGUACACGAGACGGACUUCUCCAAAUUGUCUGGGGCCUGUUUGUAGUCCCACUCACACAGUGCCCAGUGAGCAGAAAUGACGAUGACGAGGGGGAAACGUUGCAGUAGACUAUCUUUGACACAUUGUGAAUGGAGGGUGCUGUGCUCUCGCCGAUAAUCCUGUUUUAUUUGAUAAACAAGUAGAAGUGCCUAAAAAAAAAAAAAUAUUUUACACAGCAAGCAUCUUAAGAAGAUGAUUUUAUGUGGGGUUGGGGGUUAUAAAACCAUUUAAAGCAAAGCUCCUGAAAUGAUUUUGGACAGAAAAGAGACAAAAACGAAACAAAACAUGUAGUUAAAUGCAUUUCAUGCACAUCAUGGUCUGUUUCAUUGUUUCAUUACACAAUAUCGAUGUUGCUAGAAAUCGGAGCAAGAUGGCAUAGGCAGAAUGUUUGUUUUGUUGUACGAUGUUAGCUUUUAUGCUUUCUUGGAGUAGUUGACAUUGGAAAUGUAAGGAACUUCGAGCUAAAUGUCUGUAACACGCAUGACGUUUUGAGUUUGGUAAACGAUUGUCAUUGCGGUGUGUUCUUAACUAGUUAUGUUGAGUUUGAGGGCUGUCCUCAGUUAAAGAAAUUGUUCACUCAAAAAUAAAAAAAUUGUUGUUAAUGGUACUCGCCCUCA